rnacentral:rRNA from 1 species
CCUACGGGAGGCAGCAGUGAGGAAUAUUGGUCAAUGGGCGCAAGCCUGAACCAGCCAAGCCGCGUGAGGGAAGACGGCCCUCUGGUUUGUAAACCUCUUUUGCCGGGGCGCAAAAGGCGGCACGGCUUGACUUCUGAGAGUCCCCGAAGAAAAAGCAUCCGCUAACUCCGUGCCAGCAGCCGCGGUAAUACGGAGGAUGCGAGCGUUAUCCGGAUUGAUGGGGGUAAAAGGGUGGGCAGGCGGAGCUUUAAGUCGGUGGUCAAAUCGCGGGGCUAAACCCCGUCGUGCCGUUGGAACUGGGGGCAUUGAGUGCGGGAGAGGCAGGCGGAAUGCGCGGUGUAGCGGUGAAAUGCAUAGAUAUCGCGCAGAACCCCGAUUGCGAAGGCAGCAUGCCGGGCCGCAACUGACGCUGAGGCACGAAAGCGUGGGGAUCGAACAGGAUUAGAUACCCGAGUAGUC